CGAGUUGGAAACAACAUGAAUACCUCGGUCCUCGCGCUACUGGGAAAUAUUUCCGGUCACCUGAAUUUUUCAGAGACGAACUCGCAGAUCUUGCAGUUUGAGGACGAGGAUUGCCGUGUGCCUUUGGCCAUGGUCUUCACUCUGGCCUUGGCUUAUGGGACUGUGAUAAUUCUGGGAGUCUCUGGGAAUCUGUCUUUGAUUGUCAUUAUUUUAAAACAAAAGGAGAUGCGCAAUGUUACCAACAUCCUCAUUGUCAAUCUAUCCUUUUCUGACCUCCUGGUGACCAUCAUGUGUCUUCCCUUUACCUUUGUGUAUACUUUAAUGGACCACUGGAUUUUUGGGGAGGCCAUGUGCAAACUGAACCCUUUUGUGCAAUGUGCCUCCAUCACCGUCUCAGUCUUUUCUUUAGUCCUCAUUGCUAUUGAGCGCCAUCAGCUGAUCAUCAAUCCCCGUGGCUGGAGGCCGAACAACAAACAUGCUUACAUGGGGAUUGCUGCCAUAUGGAUUUUAGCCACAGCUUCCUCUUUGCCUUUCCUGGUCUACCACGUGUUAACAGAUGAGCCCUUUAGAAAUGUAACAUUUGAUGAAUAUAAAGACAAAUAUGUGUGCUUGGACCUGUUCCCCUUGGACACUGCCAGGCUUUCUUAUACUACAACACUUUUGGUGAUUCAGUACUUUGGACCACUCUGUUUUAUAUUUAUUUGCUACUUGAAGAUAUACAUACGGUUGAAAAAAAGGAACAACAUGAUGGACAAGAUGAGAGACAAAUAAUCAUUGAGUAAGUGAUCUAUCUCAACUGUGUCUGUAUCUUACUGGUGACAUUAUGAGAAGAAGAUUCCAUUUACAAGAUUUUCAGUUUUUUCUGAAGACACUGAGCUCAUAGUCACUGAAAUUUCUCUCAAGAAUAAGAGAAUAUUUCAUCAGAUUCUCCUCCCCAUUACAUGAGGGCCAGGGUGGAAAGGGAGUGAGUGAGCAGAUGCAUGGUACUUUGUUGCUAGGUGAGGUUAAACCACAACAGUAUUUCAUGGGACUCAAGAAGAUUUAACAGUUAUACCUUUGCAUAUUUAGAUAUGUUUUUCUAUCUAUCUAUCUAUCUAUCCAUCUAUCUAUCUAUCUAUCUAUCUAUCUAUCUAUCUAUCUAUCUAUCUAUCUAUCUAUCUUUGUGUCCAUGUGCGUGUAUGUAUGAAUUGAUUUAAAUACCCCAUAGCAAGCAUACUAUGAAUGUUGCCAUUUCAGAUCCAUAAUUAAGUCACUGUUGUGACUGUAGUUAAUCCCAUUGAAUCCCUUUGUAAAUGUUAAAUUAUUCAAUGAUUAAGUGCUGCUAAAUCCUUUAAAUAUAAUCCAUUGUCCAAGUCUGAGACUCAAAUUGGACCUACUUGCAGUUAAGCUCUACCAGGUGUUUAGAAAGCACAAUAUAAAUGAAAAUACUGUGACAUAUAAAUGUCACAAUAGUAUUUGUUUUCAUAAUUCAAAUAUAUUAAGAAACAAGACUUCCUUUUUUAUUCAUGCCUUUUCCUCUAAAAACAUAAUUUAAGCAGCACACUGAAAUCCCCAAGCGAUUUUCCACAUUCAAGUUCAGGAGAGAUAUCAUGACGAAACUGUUUCUCAACAGAUUCCUUUAUUGCAUCCAAAGAAGUUCAAUAAAGCAUUGCAAUAAUAGUUUGAGUGCUACCAUUUCAGCUUUAAAGGUACUAUGGGAACAAUUAUACACACCUGUCUUAGCAGCAGGAAUAGAAAAAAUAAAUGUAGAAAAUAACAACUCCAGAGAGCUUCAUCAAAGAAUUGGAGGCAGAAAACAGGCUUACAAUCACUUUUAUCCUAGCCUUGACAGAUGACCUGGAUUCCAGUCCCAGCAGUGACAUUUCUUACCAGCUCAGACUGUGAAAACACGCACUGAAACUACUGUGAUUCAAGUGUUGAUCUAUGAAAUGAUUCUUUUCCUUUUCUAGAACAUCUUCGUGCCUGUGUUGUUACGUUGCAGAUUACUUACAAAUGCCCUGGCUGAAUAGAUGACAACGUUUACUAUGCAUCAAGCCUUUCAAUAUCCUCAUUCUAAGAGAAAUGUUAUCUUAUAUGUUAAAGGCUAAGCUACAGUAUUCAGAUGAAACAAAAUAUCUUUUUGUUUGAAAGAUGCUGCCAGUUCUGCACAAACACAGAGGAAACUGUCAAAACACAAUCUAGGUGCUGCAGUACAGCUACAAAACACAAAAAUCCUUUAAAAAGCAUGGAAGACAUGAUUCAAGAGACAGCUGAAGAAUUUUACUUACAUAAGUGCAAGGUAGGGAGUUGAAUACGCUUUUACAUUUAUAAGAGACUUAUAUUUAGCAAGUAGAAUUAAUUUUCAUUCAACUAAUCCAUCCUACGUUAUGGCAUCAAUUAUUCUACCAUUUGUUAGGAAAGGAUUUGGCAGACAUAAGGACUUUGUCUGCUUUGGGGAAAUUAUUCUCUCCCCAUCACAGUGAUUAACUUUCUCACAGAAACUCACAGACCUUAUAUUGUGGUACAUUUCAGGUAUAUCUCAAGUCCCAACUCUGACCAAAAAAACCCCUAAUAAAACCCUAAUAAAAUACUUACUAAAAAUAAACUCUCCUUGCUUAGUUUUAAAAUGAAACCUGGGUUUUCACAAUCUGUUUUUGCACGACUGGGUUUUAGCAGGAUUCUCCCUCUACUCAUUCUUUAGUUGAAUAUAUUUAUAAUUUCUGUCACUUCACUAGAGAUUAAAAUACAUUUGCCAAUGAGAUUCAAUAUUAACCACUUUUAUGAUCAUACAAUCUUUAAUCUCUGUGCAAUUGACAUCUAGUUGUUGCCGACACUUAAUUGCAUGAAUUGCUAAAUAUCCCUUUUGUUAAAGAGCUUGCAGUACAGGGUAGUAAUAUUCAGACCACGCUUCCCAUGUACCCUCACUUCAGGAUCCCAAUGCCAUCACUGGAGAGAAGAUGAUUCCUAACCAAGGUGUUCCAUGUAACUGUGCAGUAAGUGUUUACUGCUGCUGUUUACACAUACAGCCUAUACAGGCUCCUCACUUAUGACAAUACAAAAGCAACCAAAUGCCCAUAAUGUGCCCAUUCUGCUUGACCUAUACAUAAUUGUAGAUAACUGUAAAAAUAUACUGAUGAAUUCUAUUAUAUACAUAUUUGGAUAUGUAUAAUUUUCCUACUAAAUAAAUUCUGCUGGUUGCAUCUGCUGUGUCACGUUGGAAAUGAAGAAUGGAAUAACCAGAGAACGACACCUUUGGCCUUCAGAUGCUCCCUUCAGCCUGUGUGAGGUACUAGUGAAGCACUUGUGAUUGUUUGUUCAACAUAGUCUGGACAUUCCGGACAAGAAUGAAAUGUUUUGAGUGACCUUUGAGCUGUGGGGCACAUGGUUCUCUCAGAGCUGAAGGGGAAGUUUAUUAUAUGGAAAACAUAUCAUUCUCUCCUCUGAUCUCAUCAGAUAUUCAAGUUCUUUGGCACUUUCAGCAUUAUACCAUGUAACUUUUUCAUGUAUUUAUUUAUGGGGUUCCCCGUCAGGCCUAUACUGCAUGCUGCUGCUCACUGUUGUUGCCUGGUAGUGAAGACAGCCUAGCUCUUCAUUUGGAAGCCUGUCUAAAGGACAGUCUGGCGAAGCUCUGUGGUGGUCAGGGACACAGUGUUGGCACAGGAGCACAGUUGUCAGGUUGCACUUUGGAGUCUGGGUUAAAGAAGCUAGUUUGUAGGCUCACCAUCACAGUCACCUCCUGAUGGUGCUUGUCUUUUGUAUAUCUUUUGGGAUUUCCCAUGGAUAAGUCAUGUUCAAGAGAAGACAUGGUGUUUUUUCUCCUGUGUUACUCUCAUGAAGAACUUUUAAGACUGCCAACACGCAGAGGUUGGGGAAUGACAGGGGGAAUUCCUCCCUUCCCUCCUACAGGACAAGACACUAUGUAUGCUGGAUCCCGUAUUUAUGGUGAACAUAGAACAUAAACGGACAUUUAUGUCUAGGUGAAUGAUGUGGUUAGAUUUUGGAGAUCUUGGCAUUAUUAUAGGUUCACCACAUAUUAUACAGUAACUAUUAUUAUGUCGUCGCUAUCAGGGUACUACAAAUUACUAUUACUAUAGUAAUUUGGUAUUAUACAGCUUUUAAUUUUUAUUCUUUUAGCUUUAAUUACAUGAAUCUUCAGCACACUUGUAAAAUACCAAAACUAAUCCAACCCAGGAGGUCCUCAACGAAGAGCAGCUAUGACCUCUAGCUUUGUCUUUCAAGCAAGCCUCGUAACCACAAAACUUCGGCGUUCAGCUUAAAUCAACCACAGAGCUCACCGACCAUUAACACACGACUUCAACAACAAC